rnacentral:rRNA from 1 species
UACGAAGGGGGCUAGCGUUGCUCGGAAUUACUGGGCGUAAAGCGCACGUAGGCGGUCUUUUAAGUCGGGGGUGAAAUCCUGGAGCUCAACUCCAGAACUGCCUUCGAUACUGGAAGACUCGAGUCCGGGAGAGGUGAGUGGAACUGCGAGUGUAGAGGUGAAAUUCGUAGAUAUUCGCAAGAACACCAGUGGCGAAGGCGGCUCACUGGCCCGGUACUGACGCUGAGGUGCGAAAGCGUGGGGAGCAAACAGGGAUUAAGAAACCC